UACGUAGGGGGCUAGCGUUGUCCGGAAUCAUUGGGCGUAAAGAGCGUGUAGGCGGUCCGGUAAGUCCGCUGUGAAAGUCGGGGGCUCAACCCUCGAAUGCCGGUGGAUACUGUCGGGCUAGAGUGCGGGAGAGGCGAGUGGAAUUCCUGGUGUAGCGGUGAAAUGCGCAGAUAUCAGGAGGAACACCUAUUGCGAAGGCAGCUCGCUGGGACGGAACUGACGCUGAGACGCGAAAGCGUGGGGAGCAAACAGG
rnacentral:rRNA from 1 species